CACGUGUUGCAAGUGAUGGGCUAAUUAACAGCACUACUCCGGUCACGAAGAGUCGGACACGAGUAAACGACUAAACAACAAACAACUCCGGAGUCGAGGUGAGCCUCUCGAGCCCUGUGCCUGUAAUGUACUCCGAAACUGAAGCCCCACCCCGAGGGAAGCUUUGCAGGGAAGGGCUGAGCCGCGCGGCUGCUGUGUUACACAUAAAACGUUCAGCAGUAUCAUCACGCCUUCUUACUAGGGAGAUACUGCUAGAUCAGAUUAUGGCAACCAGAUUACGGAACUCCCUCCUGCAAAAGGUGAAGUCCGCCCCCCCUUUGUGGCACUUUUUCUUCCUUUUUUUUUUAAUUCCACCUCGUCUUGGGGCUGCAAUCCUACACUUAACCUCCAUGGAAGUGGGGGCUUUCUUCUGACUAGACAUAGAUAGGACUGAGCUGCGAGCGAUGUAUUUUUAAACUGACCCACUUAGAAUCCUGGAACUAUAGAGUUGUACGGAAUUUCGUCUAGUUCCAACCCCCUGCAAUGCAGGGGUCACAGCUAAAGAAGUCCUGACAGAUGGCCAUUCAACCUCUGUUUAAUAAACAUCAAUGAAGGAUAGUCUAUCUCUUCCCAAGAUAGUGUGUUCCCCUUACCACCAGAAAUAUCUUAUUUAGGUGGAAUCUCCUUCCUUUUAAUCUGGAUCCACUGACUCACAUCCUACCCUCUGGAGCAGCAGAAACAAGCUAGCGGCAUCUUCCAUGUGACAACCAGUCAGAUCUUUGAAGGUGGCUAUCAUAUCGCCUCUCAGUCUUCUCUUCUCCAGGCUAAACAUACCCAACUCCCUCAACCAUUUCUCAUGGAGCUUGGUUUACAGAUCCUUGAUCCUCUUGGUGGCCUCCUCUGCACACAGCUUGUCAACAUCCUUCCUAAAUUGUGGUGCCCAGAACUGGACACAGUACUCCUGGUCUUCUGGUGUGGUCUGACCAAAAUAGAAUAUUAUUAUUAUCAUUAUUAUUAUUAUUAUUAUUAUUAUUCAUACCCUGCCCAUCUGGCUGGGUUUCCCCAGCCACUCUGGGCGGCUUCCAACCAAAUUUUAAAAUACAGUAAUACAUCAAGCAUUAAAAGCUUCCCUAAACAGGGCUGCCUUCAGAUGUCUUCUAAAAGUUUGGUAGUUAUUUUUCUCUUUGACAUCUGGUGGGAGGGCGUUCCACAGGGCGGGCGCCACUACUGAGAAGGCCUUCUGCCUCGUUCCCUGUAAUUUGGCUUCUCGCAGUGAGGGAACCACCAGAAGGCCCUCGGCGCUGGACCUCAGUGUCCAGGUAGAACGAUGGAGGUGGAGAUGCUCCUUCAGAUAUACUGGACCGAGGCCAUUUAGGGCUUUAAAGCACCAGCACUUUGAAUUGUGCUCGGAAACAUACUGGGAGCCAAUGUAGGUCUUUCAAGACCGGUGUUAUGUGGUCUUGGCGGCCGCUCCCAGUCACCAGUCUAGCUGCUGCAUUCUGGAUUAGUUGUAGUUUCCGGGUCACCUUCAAAGGUAGCCCUACGUAGAGCGCAUUGCAGUAGUCCAAGUGGGAGAUAACCAGAGCAUGCACUACUCUGGCAAGGCAGUCUGCGGGCAGAUAGGGUCUCAGCCUGCGUACCAGAUGGAGCUGGUAAACAGCUGCCCUGGACACAGAUUUGACCUGUGCCUCCAUGGACAGCUGUGAGUCCAAAAUGACUCCCAGGCUGCGCACCUGGUCCUUCAAGGGCACAGUAACCCCAUUCAGAACCAGGGAGUCCUCCACACUCGCCCACCAGUGGUUAAGAGCGGUAGUCUCGUAAUCUGGGGAACCGGGUUCGCGUCUCCGCUCCUCCACAUGCAGCUGCUGGGUGACCUUGGGCCAGUCACACUUCUCUGAAGUCUCUCAGCCCCACUCACCUCACAGAGUGUUUGUUGUGGGGGAGGAAGGGAAAGGAGAAUGUUAGCCGCUCUGAGACUCCUGAAGGGGAGUGAAAGGCGGGAUAUCAAAUCCAAACUCUUCUUCUUCUUCUCCUGUCUAUUACUUCCUUUGAACUGGACACUAUACUUCUGUUGAUACAGCCUAGGGUUUUUUUGCUGCUGUAUCACACCAUUCACUCAUGUUAAGCUUGUGGUCUUUCUUUAUGUCUAGCUUGUUGUUUGUGGCCCAGGGAUUUGUUAGGUACAGUACAUAAAUGACUGGGGCACAGAAUGGUGGCACACAUUUGUAUGUUUAUGUAUGCAAAUUUGGGGUGAUUUUCAGAGGUGAUGGUGGAAGACCUCUGGCUCUUGGUCCCCAGGUUUACUGUGAGUUAGUGAGGUACCAACAAGAUUUUAUGGGCCCAGUACACUGUAUAGUACUCUGCAAAAUAAGAUGGAAAGUUGCUGGGGUCUCCCAAGCACUGCACUUUGCAAUGGGUCCAACUACCCUGAAAGCAAUGUUUAAAAGUUUUUUUUUAAGAGGAGCAGAAGAUCCAGGGCCCUGAGCCACUGCCACCCUACCUCCCUGUUUUGCUCCUCUAAUGCUGCUGUUUUAAUAUUUUCCAGAUUCCCACUCUGAAGGAGCCUGAGAGGGUGGUGACAAUGAAAAGGGCCUUUGCAGUUGUGGCUCUCCACCUGUAGAAUGUUCUCCCUAGCAAGGUCCACUUGGCACCUUCUCAGACAUCAUUUUGGCACCAACUAAAGACUUACCUGUGAAUUGUAGUUUUUUUUCUGGAUUUAUCAGUUUACGGAUUUGUUAAUGGCAUAGUAAUGUAUUCAUGUUUGUUCUUAACUGUGUCGUAAGUCACCCAAAUACGUUUAUGUAACA
rnacentral:lncRNA from 1 species